GUUUAGGGUUAUAUAAUGAGACUAUGGUAAUUAAGAAAUUUUCAGUUUUCUCUCAGUUUGGAUGAAGCUCAGGGAUAUAACGAGACAUAGCUUGUAUCGAAUCGGGAAUGGAACAGAUAAAUUCUUGGAAAGAGAUCUACGAGUAAUUUAUUACAGGUCGACAGAACAUGUACAUGAACAAGCAGUGAUCUAGGUAUUGGAUAACAAUGUGCAAUCCCCAUGUCAAGCACCUGCCACAGGAAUACACAUACAGGUAAUCUGAGUGACUCCAAACAAAGCCCUCCGCGGCAAUGGUAUACCAGCAAGGUUACAAAACAAGACACUACCAGCUAGAAUGGGCCGGAGUCUACAGAAGGGCGGUUGGACCCGGGAUGAUUAAUGACGGUUUAAUUACCUCAUAAUCUAAACCAAGGACCCAAGGAGUGUGCCCAGCAUGCCAUUCAGCUACGUCCAUAGCGAGGGGAUAUGUGUCUUUUUCACGAGACUGUCCCCUGGGUUCCAGCGCUCACGUUACGUGGACGUUUUUCAGAAGCCAGUUCCUUUCUAUCUGAGUGACGGCUUUAUUACGCUAUCCUAAUCUAUCACAGGAUCAAAGGACAUGGUACAACUUCUCUAUAAAACUAUAUCUGACUUUUUAGACGAAUUAAACAACAAUGUGUUUUCACGUGGCUUAAACCGUGGUAUUAAUUCAGUUGAAUUUGGCUUUCAUGACAAAAUAUCUCGUGUCUUUUGAUUUGUCUUGCGCUGAGAAACUUAAAAAGUUCUUUUAUACCAUUGACUCAGUGUGUAAUGGCCAUUAAAAGUUUGUUGGUAUAAUGAAACGCACAUUACAAUUUGUAUAUUAGAAUAUUUCUGAUAUCUGGCAAAUCAAAUUGACAAUAAAACGAGGGAUCAAUAGAUUUACUUUGACGUUGCUGCUGAUAAACAUUUGGUGACCAUUCUACGGAGUAUGUUUGGAAUCCGGGAGACCCCUAUCGAUAUCUUGUUCUUGUCUUAGCGGGUAAAUGAUGACACGCUCUCAAUAAACAAAACUGGAAAUUGACAAUUUAAUGAGAUAUGCGGCAUUUUCCCCACGUGUAUGUAGAAUGAAAUUAUUGCGGACGCCUGAUCAAUGGGUACUGUAUGUUUCAGUGUAUAUAUCCAUUGUAUUGAACCUCUUUGAAAUAAAUAUAUCAAAACUUC